AGGUUGUGGGGUGCACGAGAGGAAAGGAGUGAUACAUGCAGAUGACUCAGAAAGGAAACUGCAUGAGGUUUUGGUGUCUUUGAAACUUUUAUCCUGACAGACAAAUUUUUUUUGUUUUUUUUAAAGGGUGGAAACAACUAAGUAUGUUCAAAUGCUGUUUGAAAGGAGUCAGUGGAGAAGAGGAAGAGAAGGAAGUGAUCAGUGGAGAAAUAUAUCAGAGGAAGUGGGAAACAUGUUCGGAGAGAAACAUAAAUUUAGGAGGACAAGGGAAUUCUUCGUGGGCUAAUUGGUGUUUAAAACAGACUUUGGAAGCUGAGUGAGGUUUCGCCAGAUGAAGGCAUUGAAAAAGAAUGGAAGGCUUUUAAAAAUUUAUUGGAGUGUAGUUGACUUACAAUGUUAUCUUAGUUUCGGGUGACCACUGCUGCUGCACAGCUUAGUAGCUGAGUUCUCCAGGGAACCUGUUUCCAGAUUUGAUUUAUGCCUGAGUGCAACCUCGUAGUCAUUUGGUGAAGGAAAUUAAAAAAUUGAUUGGUUACUUCCUCCGCUGCCUGUGGACACCUUGAUUGGCCAGCUGCCGGUGGCUAGGCAACCGGGCGGAGAAUCUUUGGAACAAGUAGCAGACUUCAUCACAGCAGGAGCGGUGAGGCAAGAAGCUCUGGGAUCAAUUAAAAUGCCAGGCUUUUCCAGGCUGGUUUCCAGCGCAUCUGUGCAUGAUUCCACAUAAAUUUAGGGAAUUAGAGAUCAGACAAAGGUAAACAUUUCUGUGCUUUGCUUAGCAUUGAUUUAGAAUGAGAGGAUGAAAUAUGUCACAGUCAUUCAGCCUGGAGGGGCUUUACACCUUCAGCUGAUUUUCCCCCCUCAAUUGCUUUAUUGUUUUAGGUAUGUUGUAAUCUAAGGCUGCUUAAAUCAUCUGCGUGUUCAUUUGAGGAGGGGAAGAGAAAAAGAAACAAAGGAAAAAUAAGUUUUAAUUUCAUAGACUAAACUGUAGAAUGUGACUUAUUCUUUUAUUUCAUAGUCACACCUCUAAAAGAAAAAAAUUAUUAAUGCUCUUUAUUUUCAAGCUAUUUGGUCUCCUGAGCUUGGUUGAGAUAAAAAGCUCAUUCAUGUCCCCAUAGAGAAGAAAAAGACAUUUUCUCCUUAAGAGUCUGUAAAAGUCUGACAUUUGCAGAACAUCCUUCCCUUUUAUUUUCUGUCUUCUUAUUUUAUCUAUCCCUUGGAGUGUACUGUUAUGACUUUUCCCCUAGUGCAGAAGUUAUGUAUUGCCUUUGUGUCAGGAAGGGGUUGAAUUUCCAGAGACUGCAUUAUACCUGGGCUGAGGUAAAGGAUUGAAGGUGAAUCUCUGAAGUAGCAAACAUCAAAACAAAAAGUCUAAAGUGAUGGGGAAAGUGCAGACAAGAGACUGGAUGAUAAAGACUAGGCAAAUGAAGUGCAAAUGAUAUUAUUUUAAACCCUAUAGAAAAAAAAUCAUGGACAUAGCACAGAAUUACCAUUUUAUUAAACAACAGAAAAAGUAUAAAGCUUUCAGUCUUGUUUCACUAAGCAUAACACUCUCUAUGUCUGCCCACAUUGUUGCAAAUGGAAAAAAAAUCAUUCUUUUCAUGGCUGAGUAAUAUUCCAUUGUAUAUACAUAUCACAUCCGUAUCCAUUCAUCUGUUGAUAGCCACUUAGGUUGCUUCUAUAUCUUGGCUAUUAUAAAUAAUGCAAACAGAGAAAGACAAAUACUCUAGGUUAUCACUUAUACAUGAAAUCUAAAAAACAAAAACAAAUGUGUACAAUAAAACAAAACAGAUAUAAAGAAACAGCUAGUGGUUACCAUUUGGAAGAGGGAAGUGGGGAUGGGCAAGACAAGGGAAGGGAUCAAGAGAUACAAACUACCCGGUAUAAAAGAAAUAAGCAACAAAGAUACAUUGUACAGCACAGCAAAAUAUAGCCAUUAUUUUGUAAUAACUUUAAGUGGAGUAUAAGCUGUAAAAUAUUGAAUCACUAUGUUGUACAUCUGAAACUAAUGUAAUACUGUAAGUCAACCAUACUUCAAUUAGAAAAAAAGAAAAAGAAAAGGCCAUCAG
rnacentral:lncRNA from 1 species